rnacentral:lncRNA from 1 species
CUGAGAAAGAUCUAGAGGAAUUGAAAUUUGUUCAUGACACUUAAAGCUUGGCCAGGCCUUUGAGAACAUCUAAAAGUGCACUUAAUUCAUAGUCAUUCAGUGGUCAAACCAGGGGAUACCUGGUCUGUUUACUGGAGGCUGAUUUGCUGUAGCUGACAGUGACACAUCAAUAUCCUUUUUUGUUAAAAUGAAAACGUAUUUGUUGUAUUUGGAUGUUUUACUAGUAUCUAAAAUACCAAAAAACAUAUUUCAUGUGUCUUACUAAAAUAUCAAGUAAUAGAAAAAACCCUCUCUAGUUUUAUUAAAUCAACUUGAAAAUGGCAAACACAGGAAAACAUUCUUGGGCUAUCAGAAAGGCAACAUUUUCAUGCCAAAGGAAGACUAGUUAGUUAAGCCCAGUUAGUGUAGUAGCACUCCAGAAAAGGACUGAAAGAAUAAUGGUAUAACUAAAUAAAAAAGAUAAUCAGAAACAUUGGAUUUUAGCAAAAAGCUCUUAUGGCUUAAAAAGUCAUAAAAAUGAGUGAAAACCGUUUCUCAGCAUCUAUUUUAGAUGCCCCCCC